rnacentral:rRNA from 1 species
UACGUAGGGUGCGAGCGUUAAUCGGAAUUACUGGGCGUAAAGUGUGCGCAGGCGGCCGCGCAAGUCGAGUGUGAAAGCCCCGGGCUUAACUUGGGAAUUGCGCUCGAAACUACGUGGCUGGAGUGUGGCAGAGGAAGGUGGAAUUCCAGGUGUAGCGGUGAAAUGCGUAGAGAUCUGGAAGGAACACCGAUGGCGAAGGCAGCCUUCUGGGCCAACACUGACGCUCAUGCACGAAAGGCGUGGGGAGCAAACAGG